rnacentral:rRNA from 1 species
GACGAACGCUGGCGGCGUGCUUAACACAUGCAAGUCGAACGGAAACGCCCCCUUGUUUGGUACUUUAGUGUCGAACGGGUGAGUAACACGUGAUUAACCUACCCUUGUCUUUUGGAUAAGUUCAGCAAAUUGGGGCUAUUACCCGAAAAGCGCACCUGCUGCAGGGUGGGGGGUGGGAAAUUUAGGCGGCUGGGGAUGGACUCGCGGCUGAUCAGCUUGUUGGUGGGGUAGUGGCUGCUCACGGCUUUGGCGGGUAGCCGGCCUGUGAGGGUGACCGGCCACAAUGGGGCUAAGAUACGGAGCAGAGUCCUACGGUAGGCAGCAGUCGGAAAUAUUGCACAGUGAGCGCGAGCCUGAUGAAGAAACGCCGCGUGCGGGAUGACGGCCUUGGGGUUGUAAACCGCGUUCGGCUGAGACGAAGCGUGAGUGACGGUAAUGGGUGAAGAAGCACCGGCUAACUACGUG